AUUGAACGCUGGCGGCAGGCCUAACACAUGCAAGUCGAACGAGUGGCGGACGGGUGAGUAAUGUCUGGGGAUCUGCCUGAUGGAGGGGGAUAACUACUGGAAACGGUAGCUAAUACCGCAUACCCUCAGAUGUGCCCAUAUGGGAUUAGCUAGUUGGUGGGGUAACGGCUCACCAAGGCGACGAUCCCUAGCUGGUCUGAGAGGAUGACCAGCCACACUGGAACGGAGACACGGGCCAGACUCCUACGGGAGGCAGCGGUGGGGAAUAUUGCGCAAUGGGGGCAAGCCUGAUGCAGCCAUGCCGCGUGUGGGAAGAAGCCCUUCGGGUUGUAAGGUCCUUUCGGCGGGGAGGCGUUACCCGCAGAGGAAGCACCGGCUAACUCCGUGCCAGCAGCCGCGGUAAUAC
rnacentral:rRNA from 1 species